rnacentral:rRNA from 1 species
UACAGAGGGGGCAAGCGUUAUUCGGAAUUAUUGGGCGUAAAGGGCGCGUAGGCGGCCUGGCAAGUGGAAGGUGAAAUCCCUCGGCUUAACCGAGGAACUGCCCUCCAAACUGCUUGGCUUGAGACCGGGAGAGGUGAGUGGAAUUCCCAGUGUAGCGGUGAAAUGCGUAGAUAUUGGGAGGAACACCGGUGGCGAAGGCGGCAGCCUGGACCAAUACUGACGCUGAGGAGCGAAAGCCAGGGGAGCAAACGGG